rnacentral:rRNA from 1 species
GUCGAACGGCAGCACAGAGGAGCUUGCUCCUUGGGUGGCGAGUGGCGGACGGGUGAGGAAUACGUCGGAAUCUGCCUAUUUGUGGGGGAUAACGUAGGGAAACUUACGCUAAUACCGCAUACGACCUACGGGUGAAAGCGGAGGACCUUCGGGCUUCGCGCAGAUAGAUGAGCCGACGUCGGAUUAGCUAGUUGGCGGGGUAAAGGCCCACCAAGGCGACGAUCCGUAGCUGGUCUGAGAGGAUGAUCAGCCACACUGGAACUGAGACACGGUCCAGACUCCUACGGGAGGCAGCAGUGGGGAAUAUUGGACAAUGGGCGCAAGCCUGAUCCAGCCAUGCCGCGUGUGUGAAGAAGGCCUUCGGGUUGUAAAGCACUUUUGUCCGGAAAGAAAAGUUCCCGGUUAAUACCCGGGGGUCAUGACGGUACCGGAAGAAUAAGCACCGGCUAACUUCGUGCCAGCAGCCGCGGUAAUACGAAGGGUGCAAGCGUUACUCGGAAUUACUGGGCGUAAAGCGUGCGUAGGUGGUUUGUUAAGUCUGAUGUGAAAGCCCUGGGCUCAACCUGGGAAUGGCAUUGGAAACUGGCUGACUAGAGUGCGGUAGAGGGGUGUGGAAUUCCCGGUGUA